ensembl:lncRNA
ACAGCCUCCCCAAAAGCUGGACCAGGAGGAGGCCUGGACCUCCUGACUGCUCAGCAUGGGUUACCCAGACCGCGUCCCCCACCCCUGGGCAUAAACUCUGAAGCCAGCAUGAACGCUAAGGGCUGAAUCAGAGCUGCAGCUGCCAGCCUACAGCACAGCCACAGCAGUAUCGGAUCCUUAACCCACUGAGCAGACCAGGGAUCAAACCUGUGUCCUCCUGGAUACUAGUCAGAGAUUCAUAUGAUGUAUUGUGGGAGUUCCUGCGUGGCGCAGAGGAAACAAACCUGACUAGUAUCCAUGAAGACUUGGGGUGGAGGAUCCUUGGCCUCGCUCAGUGGGUUAAGGAUCUGGCAUUGCCGUGAGCUAUGGUAGAAAAAACAAACAAUAACCAAAUAGAGUUGAAGAAUACAAUACCUGAAAUGGAAAAUGUACUAAGAGGGAUCAGAAGCAGAAUAAAUAAGUGAGCUGGAAUACAGAGUGAUGGAAAUCACUGCCAUGGAACAGAAUUUUUAAAAAAAUGAAAUGAUGAAAACAGUUUACUGGAGCUCUGGGAUAAUGUCAAAGGCACCAACAUUCGUAUUAUAGGGGUCCAAAAAGAGAAAGGAUCUGAGAAAAUGUUUGAAGAAAUAAUAGCUGAAACUUUCCCUAACAUGAGAAAGGAAGCACUCACCCAAGUCCAAGGAUCACUUAGAGUUCCAUACAGGAUCAACCCAAGGAGGAACACCCCAAGACAGAGUAAUCAAAUUGACAAAAAUUCGAGAUAAAGAGAAAAUAUUAAAAGCAAUGUGGGAAAAGCAAUAAACAAUAUAGAAAGGAAUCCCUGUAAAGUUAUCAGAUGAUUUUUCAAGAGAAAUUCUACAGGCCAGAAGGGAGUGGCACAAUAUAUUUGAAAUGAUAAAAGGGGAAAAACCUCAACCAAGAAUACUCUACCCAGCAAGGCUCUUGUUCAGAUUCAACAGAGAAAAGAAAAGCUUUACAGAGAAGCAAAAGCUAAGAGAAUUCAGCACAACCAAACCACCUUUACAGCAAUUUUCUCUAUGUGGAAAAACAAAAAGUCCCAACUGGAAACAUGAAAAUUAUGAAAUGGAAAAUCUCACCAGUAAAGGUAAAAUACAAUGAAGUUAGGAAAUUAUCCACACACAGAUAUGCAAUCUAAACCAGUAAUCAUGAGAGGGUGAGAAUAUAAAUAUAGGAUAUUUGAAAUGCAUUUGAAAUUAAGAGCUCAUCAACUUAGUCGUAUAUGUAUAUAGACUGCUGUAUCAAAACCUGUUAAUUACAAACUAAAAAUCUAUAAUAGAUACACACAAAAAGGAAUCCAAACACAACACUAAAGAAAGUCAUCAAAUCACAAGAGAAGAAGACCUACAAAAAUCCAAAAUAACAAAAUGGCAUUAAGGACAUACAUUGAUAAUUACUUUAAAUGUAAAGGGAUUAAAUGUACCAACUAUAACACAGAAACUAGCUAAAUAAGACACAGAAGACCCGUAUAUAUGCUGUCUACAAGAGACCCAUAUGAGAUCUAGAGAUACAUGGAGACUGAGAGUGAGGGGAUGGAAAAAGGUAUUCUAUGCAUAUGGAAAUCAAAAAGCUGGAGUAGUAAUAGACAAAAUAGACUAAAAUAAAGACUGUUACACAG